rnacentral:antisense_RNA from 1 species
CUUCAGCGACCCGAGCCACACGGGCUGGUCACGGUCCUGCCCGUAGGUGGCGAUCAGGGCCUGGGCCUC